rnacentral:rRNA from 1 species
GCUCAUCACAUCCUGGGGCUGAAGUAGGUCCCAAGGGUAUGGCUGUUCGCCAUUUAAAGUGGUACGCGAGCUGGGUUUAGAACGUCGUGAGACAGUUCGGUCCCUAUCUGCCGUGGGCGCUGGAGAAUUGAGGGGGGCUGCUCCUAGUACGAGAGGACCGGAGUGGACGCAUCACUGGUGUUCGGGUUGUCAUGCCAAUGGCACUGCCCGGUAGCUAAAUGCGGAAGAGAUAAGUGCUGAAAGCAUCUAAGCACGAAACUUGCCCCGAGAUGAGUUCUCCCUGACUCCUUGAGAGUCCUGAAGGAACGUUGAAGACGACGACGUUGAUAGGCCGGGUGUGUAAGCGCAGCGAUGCGUUGAGCUAACCGGUACUAAUGAACCGUGAGGCUUAACCUUACAACGCCGAAGGUGUUU